UCUUCCUUGGUUCUGCUAGCUGUGUAUACAGGCCUGACUAGAAUAUCGGACUAUCGACAUCAUCCCUCUGAUGUCAUCACUGGCUACAUACAGGGAGCCUUGACUGCCUACUGGGUGGCCUUCCACGUCUCCUCCAUGUUUAAAGACUACAACUCUACCCUCUCUCCUAGCCUGGACAACCCCCCGUCUCCUAGCUCCUCCAUGUUUAAAGACUACAGCUCUACCCUCUCUCCUAGCCUGGACAACCCCCCGUCUCCACGUCUCCUCCAUGUUUAAAGACUACAGCUCUACCCUCUCUCCUAGCCUGGACAACCCCCCGUCUCCACAUCUCCUCCAUGUUUAAAGACUACAGCUCUACCCUCUCUCCUAGCCUGGACAACCCCCCGUCUCCACAUCUCCUCCAUGUUUAAAGACUACAGCUCUACCCUCUCUCCUAGCCUGGACAACCCCCUGUCUCCACAUCUCCUCCAUGUUUAAAGACUACAGCUCUACCCUCUCUCCUAGCCUGGACAACCCCCUGUCUCCACAUCUCCUCCAUGUUUAGACUACAGCCUGGACAACCCCCGCCACCACACCGUCAGUUAGGGGAUAGGUCUGUGUGUGUUUCUUUGUGUUAGUGAAGUGUUUCAGAACAAGUCCUGUGAAAUCACAUACCUCAGUAUUCUGUGAGAGAUAAGGAGAUAGAGAGAUUAAGAGACAGAAAGGGAGACGGGAGAAAAACAGAGGGAGAGAGAAA